AGCGGCGAACGGGUGAGUAACACGUAGGUGAUCUGCCCAUCAGACGGGGACAACGAUUGGAAACGAUCGCUAAUACCGGAUAGGACGAAAGUUUAAAGGUGCUUCUGGCACCGCUGAUGGAUGAGCCUGCGGCGCAUUAGCUAGUUGGUAGGGUAAAGGCCUACCAAGGCGACGAUGCGUAGCCGACCUGAGAGGGUGAACGGCCACACUGGGACUGAGACACGGCCCAGACUCCUACGGGAGGCAGCAGUAGGGAAUCUUCGGCAAUGGGCGAAAGCCUGACCGAGCAACGCCGCGUGAAUGAUGAAGGCCUUCGGGUUGUAAAAUUCUGUUAUAAGGGAAGAACGACUUUAGUAGGAAAUGGCUAGAGUGUGACGGUACCUUAUGAGAAAGCCACGGCUAACUACGUGCCAGCAGCCGCGGUAAUACGUAGGUGGCGAGCGUUAUCCGGAAUUAUUGGGCGUAAAGAGCGCGCAGGUGGUUGAUUAAGUCUGAUGUGAAAGCCCACGGCUUAACCGUGGAGGGUCAUUGGAAACUGGUCGACUUGAGUGCAGAAGAGGGAAGUGGAAUUCCAUGUGUAGCGGUGAAAUGCGUAGAGAUAUGGAGGAACACCGGUGGCGAAGGCGGCUUCCUGGUCUGUAACUGACACUGAGGCGCGAAAGCGUGGGGAGCAAACAGGAUUAGAUACCCUGGUAGUCCACGCCGUAAACGAUGAGUGCUAAGUGU
rnacentral:rRNA from 1 species